UUGUAAAAUUUAAUAAGUAAACGGGUUGGUCAACAUUUUCACAGUAAAUUCCUCGAACAAAUUUUAAAUUAUUCUUUGCAUUAUUAAUAUUGCAAUUUAUUCGAAAGAUCGCGUUCGAGAAACUUGUUGCAGGAUUCCAUUUUAACUUGGCUACGCGAUUAUCUUCCCGAUUAAUUUUCAAUUCAAUUCGUGAAAAUAAGCACGAUCGCAAUUUCGCACAUGGAAAAUUAGAAAUAACUCCUGUGCGUGACACAGUAUUCACGAAUACGACGGUUUCACCAGUUAUUGCAAUGCGUAUGAAUCAAGAAGUGUUUCCGAUGAAAUAAAAUGAAAGAAUGUUAGCGCACAAGGAAAUAAUCUGAAAGAUAGAGAAAAAUAAAGACAAGUAAAAAUCAUCUCACUUUGAAACGAAUAAAAUUUGUUUGUCCAUAUGUAGUUUAGAUGAAGAAGAAAAGAGAAUUGAAAAGGUUGAAGAAAAAUAUAUGGAAGUAAUUUUGCAAAUUCGAUAUAUUCUGUUUCAUCGAUUCUCCAUCCGCCUACGUCAAAUAAAUCGAACGCUAUACUGUCAUUUUAAUUCGCGCUAGGGAUACGAGGGAUCCUUUCCUUCAACUACGAGCCAUUCUUUCAAGAUAAUAAAUUAAAAAAAGGUAUCGAAAUUUAUUUUUUUUUUCCUCCACUUACGGAUAUUCUUUAUUUUUUUUCUUCACUUUCGAUAUUCAUUAUUUUACUCGUUGAGUUUAUAUAUGUAAAGAUGCGAUAUAUAUAUUUACGCGUGAAUUGAGUGUCACUGAGCAUAAUCGCUUGAUUCUGUGUUUUGUCUUUUACGCUUUUUUAAACCGUACAACGCGACAUGGAGCUCAGUGUAGUAGAAACAAAGCAGUAAUCUAGAACUAGAUUUAACACGAACUCAAACAAUUUUUGAUACUGGUUACACAGAAUGCAACAUCGAUGAAAUAACGCGAAUGGAAUAAAAAAGAAGAAAAAUAAAUUGAUAGAGAAACGAAGCGGAUGAUAGGAAAGAAGCAACGAAAUUUGAAAAGUGAAGAGACUCUGAAGAUUUUUCAAAAAUUU